rnacentral:lncRNA from 1 species
AGCUUGGUUCUGUGUCCAAUACACUAAAGACAGAGCUGUCUGAUGAGAUACAGCGUAUUUAUGAUAAGAUAAACACAGAGAGAUCCUCCAUGUCUGAGGCCUUAGAGGCUAGGCUGUCAGAAGACCAUGACCAGCUAAAGAAUAUCUGUAGCCAGCUAGAAACUCAGAUAGGCAAUGUUACUCAUCAACUAGAUGCAACGGUGCAAAAUACCCAGCAUAGGGUUGAAGAAUUGGACAAUGCCAUUCAAUCAGUUAUUGAAGCAUCCAAGGUAGCAGAUCAGAAAUUUGAGUCUAGAUUUGAAUGUUUGGAAGAUAAUUUACAGUACAGGGCUGACAGAUUACAUAGGUCCAUACGGUCGAUUGCUGAGGACUCAAAAUCAGCAAAUCAUGACCUGGAAUCUAGACUCCAAUACCUAGAAGGCAGUUUCCAUGCCAUCCAGAUGCUGUCUAAGGAUGAUCGUAUGAAAGACCUAGAAAAACGUGUAGAUGAGCAGUUAGAGCAAUUUACAGAUUCACUAACGUGCUUGGAAUCUUUUAUGAUUAAGGAGAUUGAAACUUUUCAAAAGGAUAUCAUUGCUAGGCUUAAAGAUCAGUGGGAUGCCUCAGAAGCAGAAUCACUCCAAUCCCAGGCACCUACUCCACCCAGGUAUCGUGACUAUUCUUCUAAGGUUGUUACUCGUACACCAUUAGUGUACCCAGCUACCAUGGUAGAAAAGCCAGCUUCUAAGAAACACCCUCAUGGACGAAUGGUUUAUGAAUGGCAACCUAUACAGCCGAAGGAUCUUAAGAAUAUUAAAGAAUCAGUUGUCUCAUAUGGUCUCCAUAGCCCAUACGUAAAACAGCUAUUACAUUCAUGGGCAACCUUUAACAGGGUGACACCCACAGAUUGGGAACUAUUGGUAACAGCUGUACUUGAGAAUUCAUGCCAAAUCCAGUGGAAGGCAUUGGUAAGGGAAGAGGCAAAGCUCCUUGAACGUCAGGGCAUAAAGGAAGGUUUUGAAGCCCCUCUAGAUAAGCUUCUUGGUCAGGAUAUUUAUGCUGACCCACAGGUUCAGGCUAAAUAUGAUGACGAUAUACUGUCUCUUUGCAGGAAAGCAACAUGAAAUGCCUGGGAUAAGGUUCGUGAGCCAGGAGAACGUCUAGAAGCUUAUACCAGAACAGAAC